AUGAUUUUGAUGAAGAGUAUAUGGGGGGGCGUGGUGUAUGUGUUACUGGGAGCACUUCAGAUCUUUGGGACGGUGGGAGGACCUGAGAGGGAGGAACAAAAGUGGUUUUGUUUGAGGAUGCCUAGUGGACCCGGCAUCUGCCGAAGCCCUCACCCGGGAACACAGGGAGCUGUUUGCUUGUUUACAACAAAGACCGCAUGCCCUGCUGCGCCUGCUGCUAACCAAGAGGAACAGCGGCUUCUUAAAUCCUUGCCUACGAUGGUCCAGCAAGCCCAGACGUCCUGUCGCCUUCUCACCUCCUCUGCUGAGAGCUACAGAUCUUCCGAUGACAGACAAGGAGGGGAUGUGCGAAUGGUGUGGCAACCUGAUGCAGUAAGAUUUAUUAGCAAUCCAAUCGAAACAGGAAGAGCUGUGUACAGACAGGAGAAUCAGCUUGCUCAAGGUUACCCACCUGGUAAGUGAAGUAAGUAAAGCCAACUCUAUGACCCGAGACUUGUUCUUGUCCCAGGCUGCUAUACCUCCUGGAAUCAUUAACUCAUGGGUUUUUAAAAAAAUUAUUUAACAAUUUCAUAUAUGUAUAUAUUUUUGUCAUUUUCAUCUCUAUGGGUUUUGUCUUUCUUAAAGAUUGGGUGUUAAUUCCCAAGGUCACUUCUAGUCAUCAUUAAAAGUUAAUUUUGGUGGUACAUGCCUUUAAUCCUAGCACUCGGGAGGCAGAGGCAGGUGGAUCUCUGUGAGUUUGAGACCAGACUGGUCUACAAGAGCUAGUUCCAGGACAGCCUCCAAAGCCACAGAGAAACCCUGUCUUGAAAAACCAAAACCAAACAAACAAACAAACAAAAAACCCACAAAAAGUUAAUUUUAAGUUAAAAAACCAAAAAGAAAGGCUGUUUGGAUGGCUCAGUUGGUUAAGGCACUUACUAGCAAACCUGGUGACUGAAGUUCAAUUCCCAUGAUCUCCAUGGAAGAAGAGAGAACAGAACUCCAGAGAGC
rnacentral:lncRNA from 1 species